rnacentral:lncRNA from 1 species
AAACCAACAUUGCUCUAAUUUAGCCAUCACCCACCUGACAGGAACUCUCUCACACAUUACAGUGAUGAACUCUGUAACACUGAUCAUGGCCUGUGUGACUAAUGAUGAAUUUUUCCUGUUGCCUGGUGCAGUGGCGGCCGGUGGUGCUUCCUGACAAGUACAUAGACCAUGGAUCACCGGCUGAUCAGUUGGUGGAGGCUGGGCUGACACCGUCGCACAUCGCCGCCACGGUGUUCAAUAUCCUGGGGCAGGCAAGGGAGGCCCUCGCCAUCAUGACGGUGCCGAAUGCCUAGAGCCAGCGUGCUGCCUGCUAUAGAGAUUCUUGUACAUUUUGGCAUUAGAUGAUUCAGAGAGAUUAGCCGGCGUCUUAAAAUUAAAGAUAAUGAUCCUGGUCAGGGGAGGGGGGAAUGACAGUUUUCGUUCUUUAUUUUUGAUGUUGGCUGCCUUGAGGUACGUGGUUGUUCACGGAUUGGAACACAGCUG